rnacentral:tRNA from 1 species
AUGACUAUAAGUUAACGGUAGACUGUUCGUCUUCCAAACGAAGUGUGCCGAUUCGAAUUCGGCUAGUCAUA